UACGGGGGGGGCAAGCGUUGUUCGGAAUUAUUGGGCGUAAAGGGCUCGUAGGCGGUUUGUCACGUCGGGCGUGAAAACUCAGGGCUCAACCCUGAGCGUGCGUUCGAUACGGGCAGACUAGAGUGCUGUAGGGGAGACUGGAAUUCCUGGUGGUAGCGGUGGAAUGCGCAGAUAUCAGGAGGAACACCGGUGGCGAAGGCGGGUCUCGUGGGCAGUAACUGACGCUGAGGAGCGAAAGCGUGGGGAGCGAACAGG
rnacentral:rRNA from 1 species